UACAGAGGGUGCAAGCGUUAAUCGGAAUUACUGGGCGUAAAGCGUGCGCAGACGGUUGCAUAAGUCAGAUGUGAAAGCCCCGGGCUCAACCUGGGAAUUGCAUUCGAGACUGCGUAGCUAGGGUGCGGAAGAGGGAAGCGGAAUUUCCGGUGUAGCGGUGAAAUGCGUAGAUAUCGGAAGGAACACCAGUGGCGAAAGCGGCUUCCUGGUCCAGCACCGACGUUCAGGCACGAAAGCGUGGGGAGCAAACAGG
rnacentral:rRNA from 1 species